CCUACGGGAGGCAGCAGUGGGGAAUAUUGGGCAAUGGGCGCAAGCCUGACCCAGCAACGCCGCGUGAAGGAAGAAGGCUUUCGGGUUGUAAACUUCUGUUCUCAGGGACGAAGCAAGUGACGGUACCGGAGGAAUAAGCCACGGCUAACGACGUGCCAGCAGCCGCGGUAAUCCGUAGGUGGCAAGCGUUAGCCGGAUUUACUGGGUGUAAAGGGCGUGUAGGCGGGGACGCAAGUCAGAGGUGAAAACCACGGGCUCAACCUGUGGCCUGCAUUUGAAACUGUGUUUCUUGAGUACUGGGGAGGCAGACGGAAUUCCUAGUGUAGCGGUGAAAUGCGUAGAUAUUAGGAGGAACACCAGUGGCGAAGGCGGUCUGCUGGACAGCAACUGCCGCUGAGGCGCGAACGCGUGGGGAGCAAACAGGAUUAGAUACCCCUGUAGUC
rnacentral:rRNA from 1 species